rnacentral:rRNA from 1 species
GGGGAAUAUUGCGCAAUGGGGGAAACCCUGACGCAGCAACGCCGCGUGAAGGAUGAAGGUUUUCGGAUCGUAAACUUCUUUGAUGAGGGACGAAGAAUGACGGUACCUCAAAAACAAGCCACGGCUAACUACGUGCCAGCAGCCGCGGUAAUACGUAGGUGGCGAGCGUUGUCCGGAAUUACUGGGUGUAAAGGGCGUGUAGGCGGGGAUACAAGUCAGAUGUGAAAUACCGUGGCUUAACCACGGGGCUGCAUCUGAAACUGUAUUUCUUGAGUGUCGGAGAGGAAAGUGGAAUUCCCAGUGUAGCGGUGAAAUGCGUAGAUAUUGGGAGGAACACCAGUGGCGAAGGCGACUUUCUGGACGGUAACUGACGCUGAGGCGCGAAAGCGUGGGGAGCAAACA